CCAGCUCCAAUAGCGUAUAUUAAAGUUGUUGCAGUUAAAAAGCUCGUAGUUGGAUUUCUGGCACGGUGCGCUUGGUCCGCCCCUUUAUGGUGAGUGAGUACUGACGCGCGCCUGCCAUCCUUCUGGGGAGGCUGUCUACCCUUCACUGGGCCGGGCAGUCGACCUAGAUCGUUUACUUUGAAAAAAUUAGAGUGUUUAAAGCAGGCAUAUUGCUCUGAAUACAUUAGCAUGGAAUAAUAAGAUAGGACUUUGGUUCUAUUUUGUUGGUUUCUAGGACCGAAGUAAUGAUUGAUAGGGAUAGUUGGGGGUGCUAGUAUUGAGUGGCCAGAGGUGAAAUUCUUGGAUUCACUCAAGACUAACUUAUGCGAAAGCAUUCACCAAGGAUGUCUUCU
rnacentral:rRNA from 1 species